rnacentral:lncRNA from 1 species
GUUUCCAAGAGCUAGGCUUUGAUACUUAAAAUAAGAACCACUAUGGGUAUUUCUAGUUAUAGUUUCUUUCUGUUUUUAUUUGUUGUCAUAAUCCCAACCCUAGAAGCUCAUAUCGCUGAGUAUGACGAGUACUGGACGGCACGAGAAUUGGAAGCCAUUGAGAACCUGGACAAGGCCUAUCACUCCAACCCGGAGGAGGUGGUCCGCCAUUACAAUGACCACUUCUCUAGGACCAUGCUCGAGUUUUAUAUCACCAAAAGGGUGUUGGCAGAAUCAAAAAAGGGUCCCUGUGAGGUUACCAACCACGUUGACAGUUGCUGGCGAUGUGAUCCUGACUGGGAAAAGAAUAGGAAGAAGUUGGCCAACUGUGCCCCUGGAUUUGCUCGAGGUACUACCGGUGGAAAGGAUGGUGAGUUUUACGUGGUCACUGACCCUAUUGAUAAUGCUGCUGACCCCAAGCCUGGAACUCUGCGUCAUGCUGUCACCCAAACUGGACCACUUUGGAUCACUUUCAAAGGGUCCAUGACCAUCAAGCUGCAACAGGAGCUCAUUGUUACAAGUGAUAAGACCAUUGAUGCGAGGGGAGCCAAUGUGGAAAUUUGUAAUGGUGCUGGUAUCACUAUCCAAUUUGUGAAGAAUAUCAUUAUCCAUGGCCUUCAAAUCCAUCACAUUAUUCCCGCCAAGGGUGGCAAGAUCAAGGAUGGUGAAAACCACCAUGGGUUACGGGGUGACAGCGACGGAGACGGGGUGUCUAUUUUUGGAUCAACCAAUGUUUGGCUUGACCAUCUUGCCCUUCACCAUUGCGCCGAUGGCCUUAUCGAUGUCGUUCAAGGAUCAACUGCCGUUACCGUUUCUAACUGCCACUUCACUGACCAUAACGAUGUAAGCUUACUUUCCUUUCAAUUUUAAACUACGCACGAUGAGGAAUUUUUUGAUUGACAAAAAUAAUACAAUUGAAAUGAAAAAAAUUACAGGUGAUGUUGUUUGGAGCAAGCGACUCUUACAGUGCCGACAAGAAGAUGCAGGUCACUGUUGCUUUGAACCACUUCGGUAAAGGAUUGGUAGAGAGGAUGCCUAGGUGCCGAUUUGGUUUUAUUCAUGUCGUCAACAAUGACUACAAUCACUGGUUCCUGUAUGCCAUUGGCGGCACCAGCAACCCUACAAUUAUCAGCCAGGGAAAUAGGUAUUCAGCGCCAGGCUUUGGGGCUAAAGAGGUGACCUGUAGGGGCCUCUUAAAGCCGGGACAGUGGAAGAAUUGGAAUUGGGUAUCACAAGGUGACCACUUCGAGAACGGUGCCUUCUUUACACCAUCAGGUAAUCCAAGUGCCAGCAAGCAAUUUGGCGCCGACAAAAUGAUGCCUUUCAAACCUGGUCAAAUGGUCCCCGAGCUCACAAAGUAUGCCGGACCACUAAGCUGCACAAUCGGCCGUCCUUGCUAAAAAUGCUAUUUUUAUAUGCAUUUGUCCUCCCUUUUUUACGUACAAUAUUUGAUACCCAAGCAUAGUACAUUUGGUAUCUUUUCUGAAUGAUUGUCAGUAAAUUUUCUUUUAUGCGAUCCCACCCUAUUCUCUUCUUCUCUCCUAGUAAUAGAUAAUCACAAUUUUUUUCUCACGCGUGACUGUGGAAAUCAUAAAUUUAGAACAUAAAUGUUUGUUUGAAAAUAACAUAUAAUGAAUAAUGAAAUGUGUGGUUUGAAAUAAAGUAACAAUAAUAACAUUGAUUAUCAUGGUGUUUUCAUCAAUCUUUAGUUGGUGUAGGCACCAAAUCAAUCAAAUACAUUAAUCUAACAUAUCUAGUAUAUAUAUUCUAUUGCAAGGUUUUUUUGGAUUUGUGGAAACCUUCAGUUUGAAGUGAGUUUAGAAUUCGCUAUGCGUCACCAAUCAUUUCAUGACAGCAAUGGAAAUUAAUGAAAUAAAAUAUUUGGUUAGAACUAAAGUUGCGUAAUUAAUUAAAAAUUUUAACAAUCGCGAGACCAUUUAGUUUCUAUAAAUUUUGCAUGUCCCAACUUACAUAUUCGGGUAAUUAGUCAUUUGUCAAAACACAUCAAAGUGAGAAAAGAAAGAAACAAGAAUCAUGGUCAUUCCUCAUAUAGUUAUAUUCGUAAUAAUGCAAUCGCAACGGUGAUUCCACCAGGUGUUCUUGCAUCACCAAGAACUAAAUUGAUUUUCUAGAACAAGAUUUAUAAUGGAGACAUCAAGUAUGUAUUUAAGGUGGUGUAUGAGUUAGAUUUCUUUAAGACUCAGCGGGGGUCGGGGAGCCGCCCAAGACAUUGCUUUUACCAGUAUAAAGUCAAAUACCGAAGCAAAAAAACUUGCAAAGCCGAGAGGACAUAGGAUUAAUAAUUCAGCACCUAUGUUUUGAGUUGCUCCAUAGUUGACGCGUGGUAUCAGCUUAGUAAGGGCUUAAAUAAUCGUAUAGAUAUUUAUAAUUGAUGGACAUAAUAAAGUAUGCUUAACAAAUUUGAAAAUCAAAAAAGAAAAUCAAUGUCUUGGUACAGUGUUAAAUUUAUGGUUUUACUAGCAUAAUAAUUGAUUUGGGUUCAAAUCCCUUCGACAACAUAUUUUAUAUUCUUUUAAAACAAUAAGAAUUAAAAUAACCUUCAAUAAUAUAACUUAUUUUAAACAUGACAGGAAUGUAUUUCUAAUUUCCGUAAUAGAGUCGAUGCUCGAUCGACUCAUGUCACCGAAUUAGUUAAGGACUUCAAUAAAUGUUAGUAUAGAUUGUAACAAUAAUGAAAUAUGCAUUAAAAAUCACCACAGAGGUUCAAUAUACACUCGAAUCUCUGUACUCUUUUAGACUUUUAAAAUUUGAAUACAUAGUGCUUUUAUAUUCAAAGGUCCAAGUAAUAAAUUAGAGUCCAAUUCAUAUCACAUAUUCAGAUUUGAGAGAAAUAAAUAAACUCUCUUACCAAUUGAACUUUUAUUUUUUAAAUCAACCAAGUGCAAGGAUUAAAAUCUUGAAAUUGAAAGGAGAGAGGUUUCAUCUGGAAAUGUUGAAGAGUAAAGGGAUUGGAGGAUAAUUAGAGAUUUUUUUUGUAAUUUCUGAAAUUAGACGUUUAGAAUGGUCUAAAAAAUGCAAGAAAACCUCAACUGUUUCUAUCCAAAAAAAAGGAAACAAAAUCCAACCAUUUUUUACGCACUUGAAACACUAGUAGCCAAGUGUGUUUUGUAAAUUUGGAAAUUUUCAUGAAUCCCGGUGUACUAUAAAUAGUGACAUAAUGAUGGUGUUCCAAGCAAAUCAUGCUCGAGUUCAAGUUUUUGGUGCCGUAGCUUGUCUCUCCUGUCCUAUUAGGGUCCUGUUUGCAUCCAACCAGUUGUUUCCAAGAGCUAGGCUUUGAUACUUAAAAUAAGAACCACUAUGGGUAUUUCUAGUUAUAGUUUCUUUCUGUUUUUAUUUGUUGUCAUAAUCCCAACCCUAGAAGCUCAUAUCGCUGAGUAUGACGAGUACUGGACGGCACGAGAAUUGGAAGCCAUUGAGAACCUGGACAAGGCCUAUCACUCCAACCCGGAGGAGGUGGUCCGCCAUUACAAUGACCACUUCUCUAGGACCAUGCUCGAGUUUUAUAUCACCAAAAGGGUGUUGGCAGAAUCAAAAAAGGGUCCCUGUGAGGUUACCAACCACGUUGACAGUUGCUGGCGAUGUGAUCCUGACUGGGAAAAGAAUAGGAAGAAGUUGGCCAACUGUGCCCCUGGAUUUGCUCGAGGUACUACCGGUGGAAAGGAUGGUGAGUUUUACGUGGUCACUGACCCUAUUGAUAAUGCUGCUGACCCCAAGCCUGGAACUCUGCGUCAUGCUGUCACCCAAACUGGACCACUUUGGAUCACUUUCAAAGGGUCCAUGACCAUCAAGCUGCAACAGGAGCUCAUUGUUACAAGUGAUAAGACCAUUGAUGCGAGGGGAGCCAAUGUGGAAAUUUGUAAUGGUGCUGGUAUCACUAUCCAAUUUGUGAAGAAUAUCAUUAUCCAUGGCCUUCAAAUCCAUCACAUUAUUCCCGCCAAGGGUGGCAAGAUCAAGGAUGGUGAAAACCACCAUGGGUUACGGGGUGACAGCGACGGAGACGGGGUGUCUAUUUUUGGAUCAACCAAUGUUUGGCUUGACCAUCUUGCCCUUCACCAUUGCGCCGAUGGCCUUAUCGAUGUCGUUCAAGGAUCAACUGCCGUUACCGUUUCUAACUGCCACUUCACUGACCAUAACGAUGUAAGCUUACUUUCCUUUCAAUUUUAAACUACGCACGAUGAGGAAUUUUUUGAUUGACAAAAAUAAUACAAUUGAAAUGAAAAAAAUUACAGGUGAUGUUGUUUGGAGCAAGCGACUCUUACAGUGCCGACAAGAAGAUGCAGGUCACUGUUGCUUUGAACCACUUCGGUAAAGGAUUGGUAGAGAGGAUGCCUAGGUGCCGAUUUGGUUUUAUUCAUGUCGUCAACAAUGACUACAAUCACUGGUUCCUGUAUGCCAUUGGCGGCACCAGCAACCCUACAAUUAUCAGCCAGGGAAAUAGGUAUUCAGCGCCAGGCUUUGGGGCUAAAGAGGUGACCUGUAGGGGCCUCUUAAAGCCGGGACAGUGGAAGAAUUGGAAUUGGGUAUCACAAGGUGACCACUUCGAGAACGGUGCCUUCUUUACACCAUCAGGUAAUCCAAGUGCCAGCAAGCAAUUUGGCGCCGACAAAAUGAUGCCUUUCAAACCUGGUCAAAUGGUCCCCGAGCUCACAAAGUAUGCCGGACCACUAAGCUGCACAAUCGGCCGUCCUUGCUAAAAAUGCUAUUUUUAUAUGCAUUUGUCCUCCCUUUUUUACGUACAAUAUUUGAUACCCAAGCAUAGUACAUUUGGUAUCUUUUCUGAAUGAUUGUCAGUAAAUUUUCUUUUAUGCGAUCCCACCCUAUUCUCUUCUUCUCUCCUAGUAAUAGAUAAUCACAAUUUUUUUCUCACGCGUGACUGUGGAAAUCAUAAAUUUAGAACAUAAAUGUUUGUUUGAAAAUAACAUAUAAUGAAUAAUGAAAUGUGUGGUUUGAAAUAAAGUAACAAUAAUAACAUUGAUUAUCAUGGUGUUUUCAUCAAUCUUUAGUUGGUGUAGGCACCAAAUCAAUCAAAUACAUUAAUCUAACAUAUCUAGUAUAUAUUCUAUUGCAAGGUUAUUUUGGAUUUGUGGAAACCUUCAGUUUGAAGUGAGUUUAGAAUUCGCUAUGCGUCACCAAUCAUUUCAUGACAGCAAUGGAAAUUAAUGAAAUAAAAUAUUUGGUUAGAACUAAAGUUGCGUAAUUAAUUAAAAAUUUUAACAAUCGCGAGACCAUUUAGUUUCUAUAAAUUUUGCAUGUCCCAACUUACAUAUUCGGGUAAUUAGUCAUUUGUCAAAACACAUCAAAGUGAGAAAAGAAAGAAACAAGAAUCAUGGUCAUUCCUCUAUAGUUAUAUUCGUAAUAAUGCAAUCGCAACGGUGAUUCCACCAGGUGUUCUUGCAUCACCAAGAACUAAAUUGAUUUUCUAGAACAAGAUUUAUAAUGGAGACAUCAAGUAUGUAUUUAAGGUGGUGUAUGAGUUAGAUUUCUUUAAGACUCAGCGGGGGUCGGGGAGCCGCCCAAGACAUUGCUUUUACCAGUAUAAAGUCAAAUACCGAAGCAAAAAAACUUGCAAAGCCGAGAGGACAUAGGAUUAAUAAUUCAGCACCUAUGUUUUGAGUUGCUCCAUAGUUGACGCGUGGUAUCAGCUUAGUAAGGGCUUAAAUAAUCGUAUAGAUAUUUAUAAUUGAUGGACAUAAUAAAGUAUGCUUAACAAAUUUGAAAAUCAAAAAAGAAAAUCAAUGUCUUGGUACAGUGUUAAAUUUAUGGUUUUACUAGCAUAAUAAUUGAUUUGGGUUCAAAUCCCUUCGACAACAUAUUUUAUAUUCUUUUAAAACAAUAAGAAUUAAAAUAACCUUCAAUAAUAUAACUUAUUUUAAACAUGACAGGAAUGUAUUUCUAAUUUCCGUAAUAGAGUCGAUGCUCGAUCGACUCAUGUCACCGAAUUAGUUAAGGACUUCAAUAAAUGUUAGUAUAGAUUGUAACAAUAAUGAAAUAUGCAUUAAAAAUCACCACAGAGGUUCAAUAUACACUCGAAUCUCUGUACUCUUUUAGACUUUUAAAAUUUGAAUACAUAGUGCUUUUAUAUUCAAAGGUCCAAGUAAUAAAUUAGAGUCCAAUUCAUAUCACAUAUUCAGAUUUGAGAGAAAUAAAUAAACUCUCUUACCAAUUGAACUUUUAUUUUUUAAAUCAACCAAGUGCAAGGAUUAAAAUCUUGAAAUUGAAAGGAGAGAGGUUUCAUCUGGAAAUGUUGAAGAGUAAAGGGAUUGGAGGAUAAUUAGAGAUUUUUUUUUGUAAUUUCUGAAAUUAGACGUUUAGAAUGGUCUAAAAAAUACAAGAAAACCUCAACUGUUUCUAUCCAAAAAAAAGGAAACAAAAUCCAACCAUUUUUUACGCACUUGAAACACUAGUAGCCAAGUGUGUUUUGUAAAUUUGGAAAUUUUCAUGAAUCCCGGUGUACUAUAAAUAGUGACAUAAUGAUGGUGUUCCAAGCAAAUCAUGCUCGAGUUCAAGUUUUUGGUGCCGUAGCUUGUCUCUCCUGUCCUAUUAGGGUCCUGUUUGCAUCCAACCAGUUGUUUCCAAGAGCUAGGCUUUGAUACUUAAAAUAAGAACCACUAUGGGUAUUUCUAGUUAUAGUUUCUUUCUGUUUUUAUUUGUUGUCAUAAUCCCAAACCUAGAAGCUCAUAUCGCUGAGUAUGACGAGUACUGGACGGCACGAGAAUUGGAAGCCAUUGAGAACCUGGACAAGGCCUAUCACUCCAACCCGGAGGAGGUGGUCCGCCAUUACAAUGACCACUUCUCUAGGACCAUGCUCGAGUUUUAUAUCACCAAAAGGGUGU